GCCGGGGUGGCGGAAGGGUAUACGCGGACGGCUCAAAACCGUCUGUCUGCAAGGACAUGGGGGUUCGAAUCCCCUCCCCGGCA
rnacentral:tRNA from 1 species